AGUAACGCGUGGGCAACCUGCCCUGUACAGGGGGAUACCAUCUGGAAACAGAUGCUAAUACCGCAUAACCGCAUCAGCCCGCAUGGGCAGAUGCGGAAAGGGAGAAAUCCCGGUACAGGAUGGACCCGCGUCUGAUUAGCCAGUUGGCAGGGUAACGGCCUACCAAAGCGACGAUCAGUAGCCGGCCUGAGAGGGUGGACGGCCACAUUGGGACUGAGACACGGCCCAGACUCCUACGGAAGGCAGCAG
rnacentral:rRNA from 1 species